GCCGUUAAACCAAACGACAAUGACAACAGCUCCGAGGAGCUCUGAACGGUGAACCUGUCAAAGAGAAGACUACGGAAUGCACACAAUGUGCUGUAUUUAUGACAAAUGGCGCAAAGAAACAGUUGCUGCAGCAGUUACAGAUGAAAACUACGGGUGAAUUCGACUCAGCAGCGGUGGCAGGCAUGCAGCAGGGACUUGCGUCAGGCGUAGACA